UUUACUAUCUUAGUUUCUAGUUUCUUUUAUUUCCUUUCAUUUAUGUACGAUUUCAUUUGAAUGAAAACAGAAAAUUGUUCUAAAAAAAGAAUCGUUCAGUCGUAGUAACAUUUCGUUGAAUUAUAUUUCCUAUAUUGAGGUUAGAUCGUGACAGAUUGUGGGAAGUGUCUGGUGAGUUUUCUAUAUAUGGAUUACUGAAUUAAUAACUUUUCACAAAGUUUAGUCUCUUUGACUAUUUCAUUCUUGGGAAUGAAUCACCACUGCCGAAAUUUACACAGCGAGACCAAUAUAAAAUUUCUUUGAACCUGUUCUCCGCCCUUUCGAUAAUUUUCAUCCGCAAUUAUGAUUGGUUAUGUUAAAUUUUGGGUCUUUUUGUUUAUCUGAGCAUUUUUUUAAGUCUUUGUUGUGUGUGUGUCAAAUUUCUAUUUUGCUAUCUUGAAUUGAAGUGUUACUUGGAUGAAUAUUAUAAAACUAUUUUGUAUUUUUUUGAAUGUGCCUAAUUGGGGUUAUGAACUGGUCGAUUAAGAAAUUAUUUGCUCAAGUGUAUAUAUGUUUGUGAUUGUUUAAGUCUUCUUUUUAUCUUUUGGGUAUUAGUAAAUUCUAUUUUUUUGUCAUCAAAAUUAGUGAUAAAUGGAUCAGUACUGUAAAUGAUUAUUGAAUGCAUUGAGCUUUUUUCUUCUAGUUCAUAGUUAGGCUAAUUGGUAACUGGCGUCCUAAAUUGUAAUGACUUGAUAAUUUUGGUUUACUUUAAGGGAGAGAUGAUUGAGAGAUUGGAUCUUGUUUGGGAGUUAGAUAUAUUAGAUUGAUGAUUGUAUUCGGUGAACACAAUACAUAUUUCAAAUUUUUCCGCCAUUAAUUGAAACUGUCUCUAUGUCUUAUCAAUUUUAGAACAGUUCUCUGACAAUCUCUAACUCCAUAGUGAUUUAGGAUAAACUAGAUUUUCUCUAUUAGUACUUAUCUUUUAACCCUUGUUUAUGGGUCAUAAACAAAUUUUUUACCUCGAGGUACAGGUAAGGUAUAUCUACAUUCUAUCCUCCCAAGCACUACUUCGCGAGCUUAUAUUGAGUAUGUUGUUGUUGAAGUCAAUUAUAAUUAAGCAUUCUGUUAAUUUGUGAAUUCUUCCAGGAAAACAACAUGAGCUAAAACACAAAUAGAAAACCAAAAUGGGCAUCCUAAAUGCAUGGCCCAGAGGUUCAUGGAGCAACUAGUGCUUGGUGACUGUUGUUUAUAUUCUCUUAUUCUUGAAAGUAUUUAGAAAAGUUACUGUGUUCCAUGCCAAUUGUGUUUGUGUGUAGAUUCUCUAAUUGGUGAGGUUGAAUGAAUUGGUGUAGAUAUACAUUAUUUAUAGGAGUAUUUGAUUGGGGAGUAAGUGGAUUCCUCAUCUCUUUUCACUAGCAUUGGGGUCUUUGCUAAUUCACAUCAAGGCUAGAACAAAUGGAAAAAAAAUAUUUUAGUAUUUUUGUCUCAAUUGAGAUUUAAAGUUGAGAUCUCAUUGCACUUAACCAACUUCAUUGACCACUAGGCGACACACUAGAGUGCUUGUUGUUUAGACUUCUUAAGUAGUCAGAAUGAGGACAGGGGAUACUACUCUUUUUUUCGUUCUUGUUCAAGUAUGAAUUCUUUGAAUAAAGUCAAAGUAUAUGUGAUUCUGGAUUAAAAAUAAAUAGUAGCAUCUUAUUGUUGAUUCAUUUUUUGCCACUGAAUAUGGGUAUAUUGUGGUAAUUGGAACUUACUAGUAGUGUGCAAGUUUCUUCAUUUCUAGAAUUUAGGGGAAAUGUUUGUGAGAGGGGUCUUAUUUAGAGACAAGGUUAGAUAAAAAGUUAUGGAUUUGUCCGAACCCAACACCUUUUGUCAAAAUCUUAUAUUUAUGUCACGAAAUUCACUAUAUAUGUAUUUAAUUUAUAAAAAAAACCUGUGUAAGCUAACAUUUGUUAGAAUGCAGAAUCCAUAAACUCAAAUUUCUGACUUCACCUUUGGUUUUAUUCAUCAAAAUGUUCCUUAAUGUGUUCAUUAUUCUAUGUAUGUAACUUGAUAUUAUCAACUUAAUUAAAAAUUUAACUGCAACUUUUAUUGAUUAAUUAUUAUGGCUUCAAAGAGCAUCUUUUCUCUUCCAUCUCAAAAAAAAAUCUUCUUACAGAAUACUAGUAUAUUGUUCUAUUAUGUCAGUGGAGCUUGUAAAACACCUUGUUGCUAAUUUAAUUGCAGAAAUUUUUUUCUUGUCAAACUCUGAACGGAAGCAAAUGAAGCUGCAAUUAAAUUUGCAAAAAAAGUUUUAGAGAUUCUCUCAUUCCGAUGAGAAGCAACCUCAUGUGGAGUUUAUUUUGUUCUCCAACUUCUUUGAUGGAAGGACCGUGGAUGUUGUUGCUUUGACAAGCAAAGAACAUUAUAGGUCACCUUUUGAAUCGGUAAUACAAGAGUCACUUACUCCAAUGUUCAAGCAGAAAAUAAGAAAUUCAGAGUUGUAAAAUAGCUAUUGCAUUGGUUGAACCAAUCCAAGGUGAAGGUGGCAUAUGUAGUAGAACAAAAGAUCUCUUACAAGUACUGAAGACUUUUUAUGAUACUGCAAAUUCUUUUAUUGUUUCAGAUGAGGCUUGACUACUGAAGAACUAAAGAUUCUAGCACGUCUUGGUAACAAAGCUCGGAAACUUGCUAGAGAGACAUUGCACUUGUUGAUAAACAUGUACAAUUUAACUUUGCUACAACACAAGUUGUAUUAGAAGAAUUUUUUUUUCUUUGGAAGGAUUAGAAAAUAAUGACCUUGCUUAUAUUUUUUUUACAAGUAAUGACCUAUGUAGUAAGUCUCUAAUGCAUCAAUCUUAUGUGUUGGACCUUUGCAAAUUUAUAUAUUUUUUUUAAAAAAAUUGUUUAUUGUAUAUGUAGCAAUUAUCAUAAAUUGUUGUUAAAGGUGUAUUAUUUUUUUUUUAUUUAUUGCAAUAAAAAACUUUGUUGCCAAAAACUUUUCUGAAAGAUUACUAAUCAACAUUUGCCACGUUUUUGCAACAAUAAAUAUUGUUGGUAAAAAGAUUAAUUUAUGGCAACAGUAGAUUUGUUGUGAAAGUGUUUAUAAGUCACAACUAUAUGCAUGUAAGGCAAU